CACCAGGUCUGUUCCCUGAAUACUCAAACUCCAUUGGUUAACACAAAAAAUAUAACUUUCCCAUGGCUUUGGUCAGUGAAAAAUAUUUUUUUAACAAAUUCCCACUUUCUGUUCUAACUGCUGUUUCUCAACCACCCAUAGUCUCGUUUCAAACACUAUGAAAUGACAAUAUCUUUUCCUUGUUUGAGCUGGUAUCUUACUCAAAACUGUACAGCUGGAUAGCUUAAAUAUUGCUCACUAUUCUUGCUGCACUUCCCUCUAGCUUACAGCCCCUCACACCCCCAACCUAACAUUAACAGUGCAACAGUUUUGGGCCUGAUGUCAGCUCGGACGAGGAAAACAAAGACGACCAUGGAUCCAUUUGUCUGCAAGGAAGCACCAGAAUGGAGUAGAGCAGGGAGCUUGUGACCUUGCCGAUUGGAAUGAGUCACAGCUUCAAGCUUUCUCCAAUGUCAAUUUUUCCUCUGCUCCUGAUUCACAACAAUUUGUACAAAGAAAUGCUCAGAAAUGCAAUUUACACCUUAAUUUUCUUUAUACCUGCCUACAAAUAUGCUGAAAGAACAUGUUAAAAACACAGUUUUCAUUGGAGUGACUUUUUAAAGGAAAGUUAAACAUUCAAUGGAAAAGAUUUUUUUUCAUGCUCUGUUACAAACUAAGAUUGAUUAUGUUUAUAAUCUUCUAUUCCUCAAGAUCUUAUGUAUUUUAUUUGAUUAUAUUAAAUCUCCUGUUUAGAGUUACUAUCGUUAGAAUAUCAGAAUAGCAUAUAUUUAUAGUUGUUGUCUGGGGUUCCAGCAGGGGGCAGUGUUGUAACAACAAGACAACAAAACGCUGCUGAGAGUCAGCGAAGAAGAGCAGCGACACAGGAGGAAGCUUUCCAGCUGUCUCCCCUCGACUUCUACUCAAGAAAACAGUACAUUUUAGUGUUUUGAAAGGCGUGAAGACACCGAUGAGCGCCAUGUCCCAGAAGAGAGACCUUAGAGUCUCCCCUUCGGUUCCCAGAAUCCGUGACGACUCCAGACUCAUGCGCAUGCACGAGUCCAUGGUGGAUUACCUGACCGGGCGCUCCACCUGCGGUACCUUCAUGCACAUGCUCGCUCCCUCUUUUUUCGGUUUAAAUGUUUUUGAGACGUUUGGGGACGACCUGGUCUAUUCAGAGGAGGAGGACGAGGGUCUGCACUCCCAUCUCUUUAACUCUUUAGAGCCACACCCACAAAUCCGGCAGCUGAAUGACGAGGAGGAGGCUGCGUUUACCAAAGAGGAGAGGGAGGAGGACGCUCGCCGCAGGGACCGGGCUGAGAAGAAUAAGCGGAAAAAAAUGCGUAAAAAAGCAAAGAAACGUCUGGAAAAAGAAAACGCACUCAGAGACACGUCACUUGUGGAAAAUCAUGACGACGAAGACUCAGAAAAUCCAGAGUCACCUUUUAACCUCGAUGAAAACUCUCAGAGGACUGCUGAGGCAACAGGAAGUGAUGAAGCUGGCAAAGAAGAUGAUGUGAGAGCGAAGAAGAACGGACGCCAUCUGUUAAAGGUCUGUCCGUUCUGCAGUGUGCAAAAUGUUUAUUUCAUUUAAACUUGAAGAAACUCUUAGAUUGAUCGUUCUGAUGAGGCCCAGCUAGACAUGUCGUCUGCGACCCGCUCUGUGACCCCCGGUAUCGCUAGGACCGCUUUUCUCUGCAUUAGAAUCCGGUGAUUCAUGUUGAUUGCAUAAUCACUGUUGUGCAUAUCGGUGCUUUUCUCCGUCUCAGAAUCUGCUGGAAUUAUGUUAAAUGUGGAAACGGUUGAAGAGUUUUGGUGGUCAAGAGAAUGCAAACAGUGGAGCUUUACCGGUGGUAAAGGUUCAGGGACCUGCCUUGGUAACAGGGUGCUGUGGAUUUUUGGGCUGUCUGGGUCCGUAGAGGGCUGUUGAGAGGAGUGGCUGCAUCUUAAGAGGAGAGCAGGUGUAUCUUUCAGGUUCCUUACGGCUCCUGCGUCCACCUCAUGAAAGUGGAAUAUACCACUGCCGUGCGUGUGGUGAGUGUAUCGUCAAACACUCGUAAGGAUAAUGGAGGCUGCACACUUGAUGCUGUGGCACAGUGUCCUUUACGGCAGCACUCCAGUCAUUAGGAAGGUGUGUGCACUGGCUCCUACUGAGCAUGUGCAAGGAUGCACGCACGGCAUGAACAUCAGUCCACUGCUGGUCUGCUGAAGGGCCUACAGGAAAAUGUUCAUAAUCCUACUGAGAUUAAGGAAGUUCAGUCUGCUCUUCAAGUCUUCAGGCUGCAGUUUGUGAUUGUUUCAGGAGUUCCUCCCUCCAUGUCCAUGCCUGUGGCCCUUUCAGCAAACCUUUCUCACGGUGUGACCAGCUUCCUGCAGCCUCCUGGUGCUGCUCUAACCCUUGUGCUGUCCUAGACACUUUAACACUGGGAGUUGGGUCAUCUAGACUCUACAGUGUUUUUCAACCAGUGUGAGAUGGUCAAGUGUGCCGUGGGCAAUGACCCAUUUUCACUAAUCUAAAAGCAUUUCCCAUCUCCAGGAUUUCAGCUCUGUGUUCAUCCAAACAGGUCCUGAUAAAACACUGAGGAGUUAGGAGUAUAAAAGAUCAUAAAAUACUUUUUUAUUUGUGUUUGAUUCUAUUAUAGACAUUUGGAUAAGAAUGACAGUACCGUGAUUUAGCUGUAGCUAAAGCUGUUUUUGGAAAAGUCCCGCCCCUUUAACUGUCUCCGCCAAUCAUUCUUGGAGUCUUAAUCACGUCAUCAGUCUGACCAAUCAGAAGUGGUUAAAGUCUUCACUUCCUUGUUCAGAUUCUGC
rnacentral:lncRNA from 1 species